rnacentral:misc_RNA from 1 species
AACGCACAUUGCGCCCCUUGGUAUUCCGAGGGGCAUGCCUGUUCGAGCGUCAUUUGACCACUCAAGCCUAGCUUGGUAUUGGGGUUCGCGGUCCCGCGGCCCCUAAAAUCAGUGGCGGUGCCGUCUGGCUUCAAGCGUAGUAAUUUUCUCGCUACGGAGUCCGGGCGGUUGCUUGCCAGAAUCCCCAUUUUUACAAGGUUGACCUCGGAUCAGGUAGGGAUACCCGCUGAACUUAA